rnacentral:rRNA from 1 species
AGCUCCAAUAGCGUAUAUUAAAUUUGUUGCAGUUAAAAAGCUCGUAGUUUGAAUUCUGACCGGAGCGGUUGGUGCGACUCUCUGAGUUGUUACUUGCAUCAUCUCUGGCCAUCCUUGGGGAAAACCUGUCAGACAUUAGGUUGUCAGGCAGGGGGUACUCAUCGUUUACUGCAAGAAAUUAGAGUGUUCAAAGCAGGAUUACGCCGUUGAAUAUACUAGCAUGGAAUAAUAAUAUAGGACCCUUGUACUAUUUUUUUUGGUUUUUGCACGAGGGUAAUGAUUAACAGGGACAAUUGGGGAUAUUUGUAUUUCAGUGGAAGAGGUGAAAUUCUUGGAUUUCUGAAAGACAAACAACUGCGAAAGCAUUUAUCAAGGAUGUUUUCA